CCACCCACCACAUCCCAUCGACCCCACACUGUGCCCCAUUGACCCCACCCUUAACCCCAUAUCCCCCAUUGCCCCCAUAACCCCAACUGUCCCCCCCUUCCUCCCCCAUCCGGCCCCACAGACCCCAUUGCUGCCCCCCCUUUGGUUCUUACUCACCUGAGCACCCCCUAUAGGUGGGGGUCCGACCCCAUAAGCGCCCCCCGGGAUCCCAUAAGACACAGUGGGGGCCGGGGGGGGGCCGGGCCAGGAGAGAGCGGCGGAUGGGGACGGGAUGGGGGCGCCUGCGGGGAGAGGGGGUGGGGGAUAUGGGAUAUAGGAUAGGGGAUAUAGGAUAUGGGAUAUGGGGUGUGGGAUAUGGGAUGUGGGAUAUGGGAUGUGGGGGUGGGAUGUGGGAGGUGGGAUAUGGGAUAUAGGAUAGGGGAUAUAGGAUAUGGGGGUGGGAUGUGGGAGGAGGGGUAUAGGAUAUGGGAUGUGGGAUAUGGGGGGUGGGGUUGGGGUGGGGGAUAUGGGGUGUGGGAUAUGGGAUGUGGGAUAUGGGGGUGUGGGGUCGGGGUGGGGGAUAUGGGGUGUGGGGUGGGGGAUAUGGGGUGUGGGAUAUGGGAGGUGGGAUACAGGAUAUAGGAUAUGGGAUAUAGGAUAUGGGGGUGGGAUGUGGGAGGAGGGGUAUAGGAUAUGGGAUGUGGGAUAUGGGGGGUGGGGUUGGGGUGGGGGAUAUGGGGUGUGGGAUAUGGGGUGUGGGAUAUGGGGGUGUGGGGUUGGGGUGGGGGAUAUGGGGUGUGGGGUGGGGGAUAUAGGAUGUGGGAUAUAGGAUAUGGGAUAUGGGGUGUGGGAUAUGGGGGGGUGGGGUUGGGGUGGGGGAUAUGGGAUGUGGGGUGGGGGAUAUGGGGUGUGGGAUAUGGGGGUGGGAUAUGGGAUGUAGGAUAAAGGAUAUGGGGGUGGGAGGUGGGAUAUGGGAUAUAGGAUAUGGGGGUGAGAUGUGGGAGGUGGGAUAUGGGAUAUAGGAUAUGGGGUGUGGGAUAUGGGGGUGUGGGGUUGGGGUGGGGGAUAUGGGGUGGGGGAUAUGGGGUGGAGGAUAUGGGAUAUGGGGUGUGGGAUAUGGGGGUGUGGGGUUGGGGUGGGGGAUAUGGGAAGUGGGAUAUAGGAUAUGGGAUAUGGGGUGUGGGAUAUGGGGUCUAUAGGAUAUAGGGGCUAUAGGAUAUAGGAUCCAUAGGAUAUAGGUCCAUAAGAUAUAGGGGCUAUAGGAUAUAGGGUCCAUAGGAUAUAGGGGCUAUGGGGGCUAUAGGGACCAUAGGGUCUCUAGAGGAUAUAGGGGCUAUAGGACAUGGGCUAUAGGAUAUAGGGUGCAUAGGAUAUAGGGGCUAUAGGAUAUAGGAGCUAUAGGGUCUAUAGGAAAUAGGGUCUGUAGAAAAUAAGGUCUAUAGGAUAUAGGGGUAUAGGAUAUAGGGGCCAUAGGAUAUAGGGUCUAUAGGGUCCAUAGAAUAUAGGGUCUAUAGCAUAUAGGGUCCAUAGGAUAUAGGGGCUAUAGGGUCUAUAGGAAAUAGGGUCUGUAGGAAAUAAGGGCUAUAGGAUAUAGGGCUAUAGGAUAUAGGGCUAUAGGAUAUAGGGUCCAUAGGAUAUAGGGUCUAUAGGGUCUAUAGGAAAUAGGGUCUGUAGGAAAUAAGGUCUAUAGGAUAUAGGGGCUAUAGGAUAUAGGAUCUAUAGGAUAGAGGGCCUAUAGGAUAUAGGAUCUAUAGGAUAUAGAGGCUACAGGAUAUAGGGGUAUAGGAUAUAGGGUCCAUAGGAUAUAGGGUCCAUAGGAUAUAAGGGCUAUAGGGUCUAUAGGAAAUAGGGUCUGUAGGAUAUAGGGCUAUAGGAUAUAGGGUCCAUAGGAUAUAGGGUCCAUAGGCUAUAGGGGCUAUAGGGUGUUUGGGGUCUAUAGGGCGCAUGGGGUCUCUGGGUGUGCCCACUCACCGCCGCUGUCCCCGUGGCUCCGCCCCCGCGCCCCCCGCCCGCCCCGCAUCCCCUCCAGGAGUUCCUUCACCGUGCGGGGGGGGGGCGGCGGCGCGCGCCCACCUGCGUGGGGAUGGGGGGGGGGGGGGGGGAGGGGGGACACGCGUGGGUGGGGGAACCCUCCGCUGUGACGUCACCGGGAUCCCCCCGCCUCCGCGCUGUGACGUCACGGGGAUGCCCUGCGGGGAUUCCCCCCCUCCCUCCUCCCACGGCCGCACGUGGGGAAACCCCCGCGGGGGGACCUUAAAGGGACAGAGCCCUCCUUAAAGUCUCUCUUAAAGGGCCAGCGGCCCAUUCCCCCCCCCUCCCUUAAAGGGCCAGCGCCCCAUUCCCAUCUCUCUUCAAGGGCCGGCGUCCCUUUCCCACCUCUCUUAAAGGGACAGCAUCCCCUCCCAGUUCCCUUAAAGGGCCAGCUCCGAAUUGCCAAGUCUCUUAAAGGACCAGCGUCCCAUUUCCAGCUCCAUCUCUCUUAAAGGGCCAGCACCCCGCUCAAGCCGCUCUUAAAGAGCCGGCCGCCCAUUCCCAACUCUCUUAAAGGGCCAGCGACCUCCUCCCUCCGCCCUUAAAGGGCCAGUACCCCCCCCCCAGCUCUCUUAAAGGGCCCGCAUUCCCCUUCCUGCUCUCUUAAAGGGCCACAGUCCCACUCCCCGCUCUCUUAAAGGGCCCGCGUACCUCUGUGGGGCCGCAUGUCUCCGUCGCGAGUUGCAAAUGGGGCCGGUGUGGCCCCGGGGGCCGUUAUAGCGGGGGGGAGGUGACACCGCAGUGACGGCGACAUUGGGGGGGGCGGGGUUAGGGGGUGCGGGGACAGCCGGGUUCCCCCGGGUGACGUCACGGGUGGGCCGCCCCCGCGUGAUGUCAGCGGAGCCUUUUGGAGAAGCGUGUCCCCCCUCCACGUGCCACCGCGGGGCGCGGGCCCUUUAAGGGCUUUCCCACGUCCCCCCCACCAGAGGGGCGCGGGCCCUUUAAGGGGGGGUGGGGAGGGGAGGGGAUCCCAGUGUGCAAUGGGGGGGAAUUGGGGGUCCUGGGGGGAUUCUGGGGGGCCGUGGAGGCACUCAGGGAUCUUUGGGGACAUCGGGGGUUCCCCCCCCCAGACCCCCAUUUCCCCCCCAAGACCCCCAUUCCCCCCCCCCGAGACCCCCAAUUCCCCCCCC
ensembl:lncRNA